UGCCCAGCAACUCCUAUCCCUACCUCCUCGUGGUACUGGCCGGGGUACGAGUAACCUUAGGGAUGAUCGGGUAACCAACCCCCGGUGGGAACUUUGGUCGUAUGCUGACAGGGAAGG
rnacentral:ribozyme from 1 species